GGCUCGAUAGCGAACGGUCCACCUCUGCACUUGUAUGGAGGUUUUUGCCUUUACGAAAUCUGCUGCAGAAAAUCCCUGUUCGACUCGGGGUCGAGCCA